GAGUCCGUGCAGAUGACGCAACCAAGCUCAGGAGGAGCUCGUUGAAGAUCUUGUCAUUUGUGUUGUUUCGUUCUAGUUGAUCAGUAGUGGAGCCCGGUUGGGGUCGAUCGGGGACCUUUGUCGCAUUUGGGGUUCUUCUUUUAUUUUGGUUCCGUAGUCGGACCUUGAGUGUAUUUGAAUGAUGUAAUGCUUUAUUCAUGUAUUUGUGUGAAGUGGCGAUUGUAAGCCAACUAUGUAUCUCUUUCCCUUAUGUAUUACAUGGGUUGUGUGAACAUUACCUCACUUGCGACAUAUGCCUUCAAUGCGAUUAUGUCUCUAAGUCGUGCCUCGACACGUGGGAGCUAUAGUCGCAUCGAGGGUGUUACAAGUUGGUAUCAGAGCAUUCCCCGACCUUAGGAGCCCCCACUGUUUGAUCGUUUUUAGUGGCCGAGUUGUGUCUAGAAAAAUGUUUUGAGUCAUUAGGAAUUAUAUAUCGGAGAGUUUAGGAAUUCUUUUUACUUCCCAGUCCCUUCAUCACUCUGGUAAGGCAUCCUGACGUAGAGUUUUGACUCUUCUCUUCUCAAAUUUCACUAAAUUUUUUUUUAGGAUCACGCGGGUAUCUUGGAAUCGUUCCGAUGGUUUUAUGAUGAGAACAUUGUCUUGGUGCCUCCUGUCAGGGGUUUUGUGGAAGUGUCCCGGGGAGUUGAGCUCUGAGGUGUUGUCGUCAUAAUUUUAUCGUUGCAGUUCUGGAAUACCUGAGUUUAGUACGCCGACAUCGAAAAUCUCUUUUAUGCAGUUCGUUGGUGAGAUAACCUCGACGCCACCCAGUACUGGGGCGGGAGUUCGGGAGUAUCGCCAUAACUUGUAUAACGGAUGCUUUUCGAAGGUUGAGGUAGACAAUUUCCAAAGGUUUCUUGGUUAUGUGUUGAAGGAUGGAUACAGCUGGAUGUAGGAUUUGCUAGUUUGGGUGAGAUAUUAUGCUUCCCCUGUAUCCCCAACACCUGAUUGCAUAACUGGAAAAAUUUCGGAAGUUUCAUAGGUGGGAAUUCAAGUAGCUCUUAGGAUUUCUUUCCGACAGAUGUAUGAUAUGAAAUUGGGGUUCGAUGUCUAGUGGUCCGCCUAUUCACGGUCGGUUUUACAGUGGUCUCAUUGUGUCUUAAAGAGUCCUUGGCUAUGCCGACUCGGGGACGCUUCGUAUGUCAUGUGCACUGCCUUGUACAUGAUGGUGCUGUACGAUCGAGCCCGUGUAGGCCCCACCACGAAAACUUCGGACGAAAUCUCUAUCAUAUGUUUGUUCCGGCUUAUUUUGCAAGCCAAUUCUUUGUUUUGUUUUGAGUUGUGGUAUUCGAGUUGCUUCAAUGUCAAGUGUUGAUUCCAUACCUUCCCCAAAUGGUGUUCUCAUACUCCGAUGAGAAUACUAACCCUUCAUGAUAAUCGAGAUUGUCAUGUCAAUCUUUUUUUUAACCGGUGUGCUUCUCUUCGAGUAGAUCCGACCAUUUCAACUUCCGCAAGAUCAAUUAUUAGUUCUUCUCAACGGUGUUUGUUUCAUCCGUCUCCAAGUUGCCUUUGUUUUUCCCGCCCACCCACCCUUGUUUCUCCGAGGACUCAUAUAUCUCAAUUCAAGUAUCCAUCUUAUUGAUGUGAAGUCUCUUCAUUCUUUUCUAUCAAUAUUGUUAUCCGGUUAUUCUCAUGAAGAUUCUAACGGAGCUUCAAGUUCAUCAUCUUUCGUUCUUUUCUUCUCCGGUGGUUCCAAGUCAAGCUUUGUUGAUCAUACCCUUUUCUCAUGUCAAUGCUUUCUCAUACCGGUGCACCUCAUAAUAAUUCACUUCUCACUAUUCAAUUUUUCCGGAGUGCUCAAGAUAUCUCGAAGAUUCAUGUUUUUCACUCUGCAUUCAUUCAAUAUAUUUCGAGGUUGUUAUCUUAUUCAAGCCAUUUAAUUCAACCGGUGCAAUCUCCUUUCUCAAGUAAUCGUUCUACGGUGUUUCUGUUGAGUGGGCCCUAACCCACAGGUCUUUUCCCAGGAUCUUACCUGACUCUUCUUAUUUUCCCGGAGGUAUUCGCAAAUUUCUUUUCGAAGUUUGACGUAAGAAUGGAUUGUCAUCAGUCAUAUGUAUUUCUUCAAGAUCUUUCAAAUUCUUUUCAUCAUUGGAUCAACCUCUUCGUUUUGAUUCUUCCGGAGUGUCUAAAUAAUUCUUGGUGGUGUUUCUCGUCGUCAUUCUUGGAUUUUGAAGACCGAAGAAGAGUUUUUCUUUAAUCUUGCUCCAUUCUCUUCAAGAUUCGUGAUUCUAUCUUGUUGCCAUCCUCUCAUAAUUAUUUGCGAUUGUGAGAUAUUCUUUUCAACCAUCCGGAGCAAUUCAGGAGUCUUUUCAGUUUGAUUAUCCGGAGUCCAUCAUCUCAAGUUAUUCAUUCUCAGCGUUCAACUAUUGUUCUCCAAUCUUACGGGGGCAUUAUUCAAUAUCCCCUAGUCAGCUCGUGAUAUUUUCAUUCACUUGCAUCUAAUUUCUCUCUAGUUUCCUCAUUCAUUUCAUAAUUCUUCCCGGUGUUUUCUUUAUCUUUUCUUCAAUCGUUUUCUAUUCUUACGGUGGUUCGUUCAAGAGUUUUCUCUUCCUUCUUUAUCAUAUCAAUUUAUUCGUUGUUUCAACCCUUCCGGUGGUUCGUUCAAUACCUUCCCAAGUUGGUGCGACAUAUAUCUUAAUCUUUUCUAUGAGAAUAAGUAAUAUGUCAAAUCCGUUGAUUGUCAUCAAUUUAAUUGAUGAAGGAUAAGCAUAAUGUAAUUCUUAUUCUUGUUUCAUCCAAGAGAUUAAUUCUUUAUUCCGGAGGUUCGCCAAAUUCUUGGUUUCACUUGUUUCUCAUCUUUUCUUUCCCGGAGUUCCAAGCUCUAAUUAUCAUUGAGAUCCAUCUAAAUCAUCGCAAGGCUUCACCUUGUGUUUCCAUCUUCUCUGGCCUUCCGUUUGAGCAUUCUUUUGUUUACCGGAGUUCUUCAUGGAGGUUCUACAUGAUGGCUCAUCAAGGAUUUAAUUCCUUCUCGAAGUGUUCAUCGAGAUUCUUUUCAGAGGAGCUCAAGCAUUCUUCAUCUUGCAAUCUGGAGUGCAAAUUCUUUCUACCAUAUUAUUGGAGGUGGUAUUAUGCCAUUCUUGAUAAUUUGGGUUCAUGUUUCAUGAUUCACAUGUUGUUAAGAAUGAGAUAGUUAAACCCAUCAAUCUCUUCAUUGGAGUUAUCUUGUGCCAUGUUACACCUAAAGCCUUCCCUAAGGAUUGUUGCUAUUUAUGGUGCUUAUAAAUGACCCAAGUUCUUCAAUUAUCCUCCCGGUGAAAUAAGUUUCUCGUCUCCUUGUUCUUAUCAAUCCAAUUCUUUUUCCCGUGAGUGGCAGGUUGUCACCUCAUAAUUUGAGAUGUAUUCCAUAAGACCAUAUCAAGAUUAUUCUUUUCGUUGUUGUUUUUCUGACAACUCUGUUCUAGCAUUUGUUGUAAGCGUGCUCCCUCAAGACCUUGUUUCCCUUCGUUCAUUCCAUUUCAUUCUCUCUUUUCUUCCGGAGGCAUUGUGAUGUUGCUCUUUUCAAACCUUCUUAUUGUUCUUGUCAGGAUCUUGUUCUUUUCAGGCCUACCCAUUUAACCGGAGUGUUGUGCCAUUUUGCUCAAGUUCUUUUCGCCUUAUCAAGCCUUUCAUCUCUGUUCAACCGGAGUGUUGUCCGAGAUCUUUCUUACCCCUUGUUUCAAUUCAUUCAAUAGUUAUAGAGGCAGUGUAUUGUGAUUUCAUCAAGUAUCUUCUCAUCUUAUCAAGUUAUUAUUCAAUCCCUUUUCUUUUCAACCGGAGUGCUGCCCGAAUUUUGGUUUUCCUUGAUCCCCUUCCUUAACCGGAGUGUUUCUUUUCUAUAUAUAUCUUCCCUUCAACCAAGGUUUCGCAAUGCUCUUUGUCCCUCGUUUUCUAACGGAGUGUUUUCGACCUAGUUCACCUUUGUUGUAUUCUUUCCUCGAAUUUGUUCAACCUCGCAAGGUUCUUGAUUUCUCUCGUUUGUCAAAGAAGCAACUUAGCUUUACCUCUCCUCUAUCGCUUCUGUUUUCCCUCGGUGCCAUUCUAGAUCUCGGGACGAGAUCCUCUCGUAGUGGUGGAGUGUUGUAGCGCCCUGAGACCGAUGUGCCAGGUGUCGUCCAGUUAUUCGCUGUCAUUGUCAGGUCUUUUGCUUGCGUGUUGCAUCUUAUCAUGUCAUCAUGUGCAUUGCAUCAUCAUGUUUUCAAAACUUGCAUCCGUCCCGGCCUCCUCGUUCUCUCUGUUGUCCGUUCUGAGCCCAGACACACUUGCAUGCGCCCGCGGCAUGUCCGAAAUAUUAUUUUAUAAGUGGCCGGAAAGUGUUCUCGGAUUGGGUUGAAAUUUGGUGUGCGGUCUUAUUAUAGUGUAGACAGACCGCCUGUCAAGUUUCAUCGCAAUCGGAGUUCGUUUGACGCCCCAACGAAUAAAUAUAGCGGCAAUAGUAGCCGGUCUAAACGUCGGACGUUUUCGGUCUCCGGAAAUAGUCGCUGGGCCUCCCUCUCUUCUCUUCUCUCAGCUCGAGACCGUCUACACAGCUCACUACCUACCACCAGAUCCAACCCAACCUCUCUUGUCAGCCCGCAGCCCCCCUCGUGUGCGUCCGAAAAUUGUCCCAGACCCGACCCGGACAGUCGUCACCGUUGGAUCCGGAUCAUCCCCAAACGUCUACAAAACGUCACCGUUUUCUCGUUUGGUCUCCCUAGCUAUUUUAUUCGCGGUCGUCCGAUUACGAUCCGAGGGACGAGUUAGCCCCUAACCUAAAUCCAAUGUUAUAAAUAACCAGACAAACCCUAGCCCAUCCUGCCCAAUCCACCAAAUCCCCACGCCGUCGCCAGUCUCUACUUGUUUUCAGCGUCGAGCCAACCGCCAGCCAGAUCCAUUCCAGCCCGCAGCUUCCCUUCUCCACCCUCGGAUGAAUAUCCAAGGGAUCUCCUUGCGCCAGCCAGGGCCUUCCCGCAGCUUCCCUCGCUCUGGAUCGGGCUCCCGAGCGCCUCGCCGCGUCGUGCCGGCCGGCCGCCGACGACCUGAGGCCAGGCGCCUUGCGCCCACGACCCCUCGCCUGAGCCGGCGACCUCCAGCAGCUCCUCCCCGUCGUCCUUGCGGUGCCUCUAGGGCCCUCCCGAGCCCUGCCUCGUUCCCACCGUCCUCGCCCGUUCGUCGUGCCGCCAAGCAGCCAUGACCCUUCCUCCUCCUCCCGUGCGCCUCGUCGGACCAGUCGCCGCCGGUGACCCGAGACCAUGCGCCAUCAGCAGGCCGUCCUCGUCGCUCCUGCUUCCCUCCUUUUCUCUUCUUCGCUGAAGCUCUCCCUGACCACCCCCCUCGUCAUGCUUCUCUCACAGGGAACCAUGGCGCCGCCACUUGGAGCUCCAUGGUCGCGCUUCCCUCUCCCGUCUCCGGCCAGAUCCAUGGCCCGGGGACCAGAUCCGUCGUCGCCUGCCAAGUCCACCUCCAGGGUGCUGCAGCCGUCGCCUCGCCUUGACCUCAGGAGCGAGCAGCAGCAAGGUCGUCCGAGCGUUGACUGCGCCCAUAGCCUCCUCGCCCCGCGCGUCUGGACCGCUUCCAGCGCCAGCAAGGCCCAGCUCCUUCCUCGUCCCCGCGCGGCCCAGUCAGCCCCGGCCCAGCCUCUGCACCAGCGGGCCUUGGCCCAUGGUGAGCGCCCAGUCUGCCCAGAUUCAGCCCGCUGACGUUUUUUUUAGAUCUACGAAUUUACUAAUUUUCCAGAGAAAACCUGUUUUGCAAAAACCCCCUGCUGUUCAUGCAUAUAAUAACUUCCAAACCGUGCAUCGGAUUAAAAUCAUUUAUAUAUGAAACUUGCUCAGAAUUUUGUGUAGAUUAAUAAUAUCCAACUUUCAUCUAUGUUUAAAAUGUUUAAAAUGAUGUUUGCUUAAAUUUGCUCCUAUGUCAUGUUAAAAUGAUUUAGUUCAUAACUAAAUAACCGUAACUCCGAUUUUAAUAAACGUUAUAUGUAAAUGGGGUAGAAUUUUGCCUAGUUUAACAUGGUGGCAUCAUCUUGCAUGUCUAAUAACUCUAAAAUAAUGUUUAGGGUAGAACAGUACAAACCUUAAAUUAUGCACAUGGGGAUUUACCGGAAUUGUUGUUCGUUGCUUCCGGCCUCAUUUAAACUUGCCUAGAUAGGUAGUUUUGUUGUGCUUCACCUCUUGCCAUGUUAAUCAACAUUUAAUAUUGUUGGGGUACAUAAACGAGAGAGAACUAAAUAAUUGACGUGGUGUUUCGUCAAUAUGCAACUCGUUGCAUAUUGAGCUCCAUUUAAUUUGUAGGAUUGCUUGUGCAUUUUGCCAUGCCAUGCUUCAUUAAACCGGACAUGCAUCAUACUCGAUUGUGCAUCAUGCCAUGUUGAUGUGUUGGUUGUUUACUAUGUUGUGUGCUUCUUUUUCGGUGAUUGCUUCUUCGGGUUGGUUCCGGUAACGUCGAGUUUGUGAGGAUCCGUUCAACUUCGUCCGUUUGUCUUCUUCAUGGACUCGUUCUUUUUCCUUGCGGGAUUUCAGGCAAGAUGAUCAUACCCUCGAAAUCACUACUAUCUUUGCUAUGCUAGUUUGCUUGCUCGUUUGCUAUGCCAAUGCUACGAUGCCUACCAUUUGCUUGUCAGCCUCCCAAAUUGCCAUGUCAAACCUCUAACCCACCAUGUCCUAGCAAACCGUUGAUUGGCUAUGUUACCGCUUUGCUCAGCCCCUCUUAUAGCGUUGUUAGUUGCAGGUGAAGAUUGAAGUCUGUUCCUUGUUGGAACAUGGAGAUGUUGUUCCUUGUUGGAACAUGUUUUACUUGUUGGGAUAUCACAAUAUAUCUUAUUUAAUUAAUGCAUCUAUAUAUUUGGUAAAGGGUGGAAGGCUUGGCCUUAUGCCUGGUGUUUUGUUCCACUCUUAUCGCCCUAGUUUCCGUCAUAUCGGUGUUAUGUUCCCGGAUUUUGCGUCCCUUACGCGGUUGGGCUAUAAUGGGAACCCCUUGGCAGUUCGCCUUAAGUAAAGCUUUUCCAGCAAUGCCCAACGUUGGUUUUACCAUUUGCCACCUAGCCUUUUUCCCUUGGGAGUCGCGCAUCCCGAGGGUCAUCUUUAUUUUAACCCCCCCGGGCCAGUGCUUGUCUAAGUGUUGGUCCGAACUGAGUAGACUGCGGGGCCACCUCGGGGAAACUUGAGGGCUGGUUUUACUCGUAGGAUGUCUCAUCCGGUGUUGCCCUGAGAACGAGAUAUGUGCAGCUCCCAUCAGGAUGUCGGCGCAUCGGGCGGUGUUGCUGGUUUAGUUUUACCCUGUCGAAAUGUCUUGUUGUACCGGGAUACCGAGUCUGAUCGGAACGUCUCGGGUGGAGGUCUAUUCCUUCGUUGACCGUGAGAGCUUGUGAUGGGCUAAGUUGGGACACCCAUGUAGGGAUUUGAACUUUCGAAAGCCGUGCCCACGUUUAUGGGCAGAUGGGAAUUUGUUAAUGUCCGGUUGUAGAAAACCUGAAGUUGACCUUAAUUAAAAUGAAUCAACAGCGUGUGUAACCGUGAUGGUCUCUUUCCGGCGGAGUCUGGGAAGUGAACACGGUUGUUGGAGUUAUGCUUGACGUAGGUAGUCCAGGAUCAUUUCUUGAUCAUACUUUCACCGACCGUGCUUUGCCUUCUCUUCUCGCUCUCAUUUGCGUAUGUUAGCCACCAUAUAUGCUAGUCGCUUGCUGCAGCUCCACCUCAUACAUUUACCUUACCCAUAAGCUUAAAUAGUCUUGAUCGCGAGGGUGCGAGAUUGCUGAGUCCCUGUGGCUCACAGAUACUUCCAAAACCAGCUUGCAGGUGCCGGUGAGUCCGUGCAGAUGACGCAACCAAGCUCAGGAGGAGCUCGUUGAAGAUCUUGUCCUUUGUGUUGUUUCGUUCUAGUUGAUCAGUAGUGGAGCCCAGUUGGGGUCGAUCGGGGACCUUUGUCGCAUUUGGGGUUCUUCUUUUAUUUUGGUUCCGUAGUCGGACCUUGAGUGUAUUUGAAUGAUGUAAUGCUUUAUUCAUGUAUUUAUGUGAAGUGGCGAUUGUAAGCCAACUAUGUAUCUCUUUCCCUUAUCUAUUACAUGGGUUGUGUGAAGAUUACCUCACUUGCGACAUAUGCCUUCAAUGCGAUUAUGUCUCUAAGUCGUGCCUCGAUACGUGGGAGCUAUAGUCGCAUCGAGGGUGUUACACCCUAGCUCUGAUAUCAUGUUAUGAAGUGAGCAUGUAUUCCAUCG
rnacentral:lncRNA from 1 species